rnacentral:lncRNA from 1 species
GGAAUGAGUAGAAGUUAUCCAGGAGAAGAGGAUGGAGGCCCUAAGGAGAAUCCCGUUUCCAGCCUAGGAAUCAUCCAAUGUGUAGUCCUGAGGCAAGAGGGAACCGGCCUCCUUCAAUGGACAAGCAGAAAGAAGACUGGUGCCAUUCAAAGAUGUCAAAGGCAUCAAGGAGGGUCAAGGUGGAGAAAUGGGCCUAUGAGAUCCAAUCAUACUUGCCAAGAUGUUACUAAGGAGUUGUGUAUGGACCAGUGGAAAGUUUGGUGGUAAGGACCUGGUCUUGUGUUUACUCUGCUUCUAACUAGCUGUAAGAUCGUAGUC